rnacentral:rRNA from 1 species
AAUGCCUAGGAAUCUGCCUGGUAGUGGGGGAUAACGUUCGGAAACGGACGCUAAUACCGCAUACGUCCUACGGGAGAAAGCAGGGGACCUUCGGGCCUUGCGCUAUCAGAUGAGCCUAGGUCGGAUUAGCUAGUUGGUGAGGUAAUGGCUCACCAAGGCGACGAUCCGUAACUGGUCUGAGAGGAUGAUCAGUCACACUGGAACUGAGACACGGUCCAGACUCCUACGGGAGGCAGCAGUGGGGAAUAUUGGACAAUGGGCGAAAGCCUGAUCCAGCCAUGCCGCGUGUGUGAAGAAGGUCUUCGGAUUGUAAAGCACUUUAAGUUGGGAGGAAGGGUUGUAGAUUAAUACUCUGCAAUUUUGACGUUACCGACAGAAUAAGCACCGGCUAACUCUGUGCCAGCAGCCGCGGUAAUACGGAGGGUGCAAGCGUUAAUCGGAAUUACUGGGCGUAAAGCGCGCGUAGGUGGUUUGUUAAGUUGGAUGUGAAAUCCCCGGGCUCAACCUGGGAACUGCAUUCAAAACUGACUGACUAGAGUAUGGUAGAGGGUGGUGGAAUUUCCUGUGUAGCGGUGAAAUGCGUAGAUAUAGGAAGG